CCUGGCACAGAGUUACUGGGACUAUGUGGUGACAGGUUUACUCGUGAUGUGGCUUGUCUGUGAUAUGGUGCAUUCCAUGAGAUCAUAUUUUACUGCGAUGUUUUACUGUUCUACUCACUGGGCUAUAGAGCUCAUCCCACUCCCUUAACCCCAGUUUUGCAGGUUCAGUGUACAGUGUACAGGGACAGUCCAGCAGAGUACAG
rnacentral:lncRNA from 1 species